GACGUAGGUGGCGAACGUUAUCCGGAAUUAUUGGGCGUAAAGGGUGCGUAGAUGGCCUGAUAAGUUAGCAGUGGGAAAUCGAGGCUCAACCCCGUGGAAGCUGGUAAUACUGUCAGGCUCGAGUGCAGGAGAGGUUAACGGAACUCCAUGUGGAGCGGUAAAAUGUGUAGAUAUAUGGAAGAACACCAAUAACGGCGAAGGCAGUUAACUAUUCUGUUACUGACAUUGAGGCACGAAAGCGUGGGGAGCAAAACGG
rnacentral:rRNA from 1 species